AGGGAUAUAGUUUAAAGGUAGAACUACGGUCUCCAAAACCGUCGGUGUAGGUUCAAUUCCUACUAUCCCUGCCA
rnacentral:tRNA from 1 species